rnacentral:tRNA from 1 species
GCUCAUGUAGCUCAGGGGUAGAGCACUCCCUUGGUAAGGGAGAGGUCGACGGUUCAAUUCCGUCCAUGAGCUCCA